rnacentral:tRNA from 1 species
GCGUUGCCUUGGGCUGGUGUUAGGAUGCGCCGUUGGCGCUGGCGGAGUCCCGAGGUGCUGCCCUGGGCUGACGUA